GCUACGGGUGGCAGCAGGGAGGAAGAGUGGGCAAUGGACGAGAGUCGGAACCAGCCAAGAAGAGUGAAGGAUGACUGCCCUAUGGGUUGUAAACUUCUUUUAUAAAGGAAUAAAACGAGGCACGUGUGCCCUUUUGCAUGUACCUUAUGAAUAAGGAUCGGAUAACUCCGUGCCAGCAGCCGCGGUAAUACGGAGGAUCCGAGCGUGAUCCGGAUUUAUUGGGUUUAAAGGGAGCGUAGAUGGGUUGUUAAGUCAGUUGUGAAAGUUUGCGGCUCAACCGUAAAAUUGCACUUGAUACUGGCAGUCUUGAGUACAGUUGAGGUAGGCGGAAUUCGUGGUGUAGCGGUGAAAUGCUUAGAUAUCACGAAGAACCCCGAUUGCGAAGGCAGCUUACUAGACUGUGACUGACAUUGAUGCUCGAAAGUGUGGGUAUCAAACAGGAUUAGAUACCCCAGUAGUC
rnacentral:rRNA from 1 species